rnacentral:rRNA from 1 species
CCUACGGGAGACAGCAGUAGGGAAUCUUCCACAAUGGGCGAAAGCCUGAUGGAGCAACGCCGCGUGGGUGAAGAAGGUCUUCGGAUCGUAAAACCCUGUUGUUAGAGAAGAAAGUGCGUGAGAGUAACUGUUCACGUUUCGACGGUAUCUAACCAGAAAGCCACGGCUAACUACGGGCCAGCAGCCGCGGUAAUACGUAGGUGGCAAGCGUUAUCCGGAUUGAUUGGGCGUAAAGGGAACGCAGGCGGUCUUUUAAGUCUGAUGUGAAAGCCUUCGGCUUAACCGGAGUAGUGCAUUGGAAACUGGGGGACUUGAGUGCAGAAGAGGAGAGUGGAACUCCAUGUGUAGCGGUGAAAUGCGUAGAUAUAUGGAAGAACACCAGUGGCGAAAGCGGCUCUCUGGUCUGUAACUGACGCUGAGGUUCGAAAGCGUGGGUAGCAAACAGGAUUAGAUACCCUGGUAGUC